UAGUAACGGCGAGUGAAGAGGAAAGAGCUCAAAGUUGGAACCUGUUUGGCUUAGCUAAACCGGAUUGUAAACUGUAGAAGUGUUUUCCAGACACGCCUGGUAAAAAAGUCCUUUGGAACAGGGCAUCAUAGAGGGUGAGAAUCCCGUCAUUGGCCAGAGCUGUUGUCUUUUGUGAUACAUUUUCAAAGAGUCAGGUUGUUUGGGAAUGCAGCCUAAAUUGGGUGGUAAAUCUCACCUAAAGCUAAAUAUUUGCGAGAGACCGAUAGCGAACAAGUACCGUGAGGGAAAGAUGAAAAGAACUUUGAAAAGAGAGUUAAACAGUAUGUGAAAUUGUUAAAAGGGAACCGUUUGGAGCCAGACUGGCUUGAUCGUAAUCACUCUAGGCUUUGGCCUGGAUGCACUUGCGGUCUAUGCCGGCCAACGACAGUUUUGUUUGAGGGAAAAAAUUACAUUGAAUGUGGCCCUUCGGGGUGUUAUAGCUUUGUAAAAAAUACCUUGGACGGGACUGAGGAACGCAGCGAAUGCCUUUAGGCGAGAUUGCUGGGUGCUUGCGCUGAUACAUGCUAGAAUUUCUGCUUUGGGUGGUGCUAGUGUGUAAAGGAGUAACCCGCUUAGUAUAUUUUUUAUUCGCUUAGGUUGUUGGCUUAAUGACUCUAAAUGACCCGUCUUGAAACACGGACCAAGGAGUCCACCAUUAGUGCAAGUAUUUGGGUGACAAACCCAUAUGCGCAAGGAAACUGAUUGAUACGAAGGCGCAAGCUGGCAGUAUCACCCGGCGUUGACGUUUUAUACUGAACUGACCGAGGUAAAGCACUAAUGAUGGGACCCGAAAGAUGGUGAACUAUGCCUGAAUAGGGUGAAGCCGGAGGAAACUCCGGUGGAGGCUCGUAGCGAUUCUGACGUGCAAAUCGAUCGUCAAAUUUGGGUAUAGGGGCGAAAGACUAAUCG
rnacentral:rRNA from 1 species